rnacentral:rRNA from 1 species
GGAGGGUGCAAGCGUUAAUCGGAAUUACUGGGCGUAAAGCGCACGCAGGCGGUUUGUUAAGUCAGAUGUGAAAUCCCCGGGCUCAACCUGGGAACUGCAUCUGAUACUGGCAAGCUUGAGUCUCGUAGAGGGGGGUUAGAAUUCCAGGUGUAGCGGUGAAAUGCGUAGAGAUCUGGAGGAAUACCGGUGGCGAAGGCGGCCCCCUGGACGAAGACUGACGCUCAGGUGCGAAAGCGUGGGGAGCAAACAGGAUUAGAUACCCUGGUAGUCCACGCCGUAAACGAUGUCGACUUGGAGGUUGUGCCCCUUGAGGCGUGGCUUCCGGAGCUAACGCGUUAAGUCGACCGCCUGGGGAGUACGCCGCAAGGUUA